rnacentral:lncRNA from 1 species
AGAGCCUCAAAGAGCACCCAGCAUAACUGUGGGAGAAUAGUAAGCAUUGGACACAAAAUGGUUUAGGCAAAUAAUGAUGAACAAAAAUGGUCAGUCUGUGUUCCUGCUGACCCAGCACAGUGGGGACGCUGUGUAGGACAUGACCUUUGGGGGAAAGGACACAAGAACUCAGCGUGGGGGAUCCAGAAAAGAAGUCGCACGUAUUGAAGCCAGUAACGCCAAGCCAGUGAAUUCUCCUUGACGAGAAAGACCCACUUACUCUGCAGAAGAGAUAUAUGACAGCUGACAAUCCCUGGAGGAGAAUCUUUCUACUAAAUUGGUAAGGGAUGCUAAGCAAAUGAUGUGGACUCAGGAAACAACGCAUUUCAUGAUAUACGGUUGCCUCUCAAGGUGAAUUCGAGACCCCUCUUGAAUUACAAAGAGUUGAAAACAUUCAAGUACGGAAUAAACUAUUACUGCGAAUACGCUCAUAUGACACAAGAACAAUCUCUGAGCUUCUUUGAGGAUGUCCAGAUGACUGCUGACUGCACUAAUUGCAUCAAUCGUGUAUCCAUACAGUAACUCCAGGUUGAAGAACUUCUACUUAUAGGCAUCUAUUCAACGAAGACGAAUCCUGGAAUGGGGAUGGAAAUGAUGGCUCAUGUCUUAGCAAACUACCAAACUGAUCCGAGAGGACAGGGAAGUCAGUGUGGGCGGCUCUAAGGAGCCUCCCUCUCUACAGCUGCGGCUCAGAGGAUUACGGCGCUUCAUCCACAAGGCAACAUUGCACAAGUAGCUUUUGAACAAAAGUCAUGGAUACUAUUAAUGAUAUGGUAAUCCUUAAUCGAGCUACCUCCCAGUAGUGAUUAUACUGACAUGGGAAGAAUAUCUAAGUCGUGGAGGCAGCCCACAACAACACUGUGUCAUUGUUCACCCCGGGCUCGACCAGGACUAACUUUUACCAGCAUCUCUAACGUCACCUUUCCCCUGAUGCCUCCCCACAACCCCUGGCCCCAGCUCCCAUUCCCGCCCCAUCAUAGCAAAAAAGUAGCAAAGAAAACCCUGAUCCUAAA